rnacentral:rRNA from 1 species
GACGAACGCUGGCGGCGUGCCUAAUACAUGCAAGUAGAACGCUGAAGGAGGAGCUUGCUCUUCUGGAUGAGUUGCGAACGGGUGAGUAACGCGUAGGUAACCUGCCUGGUAGCGGGGGAUAACUAUUGGAAACGAUAGCUAAUACCGCAUAACAGUAGAUGUUGCAUGACAUUUACUUAAAAGGUGCAAUUGCAUCACUACCAGAUGGACCUGCGUUGUAUUAGCUAGUUGGUGGGGUAACGGCUCACCAAGGCGACGAUACAUAGCCGACCUGAGAGGGUGAUCGGCCACACUGGGACUGAGACACGGCCCAGACUCCUACGGGAGGCAGCAGUAGGGAAUCUUCGGCAAUGGACGGAAGUCUGACCGAGCAACGCCGCGUGAGUGAAGAAGGUUGUCGGAUCGUAAAGCUCUGUUGUAAGAGAAGAACGAGUGUGAGAGUGGAAAGUUUACACUGUGACGGUAUCUUACCAGAAAGGGACGGCUAACUACGUG